CCUACGGGAGGCAGCAGUGGGGAAUAUUGCACAAUGGGGGAAACCCUGAUGCAGCGACGCCGCGUGAGUGAAGAAGUCAUUCGUUGUGUAAAGCUCUAUCAGCCGGGAAGACAAUGACGGUACCUGAGUAAGAAGCCCCGGCUAACUACGUGCCAGCAGCGGCGGUAAUACGUAGGGGGCAAGCGUUAUCCGGCUUUACUGGGUGUAAGGGAGCGUAGACGGCAGUGCAAGUCUGGAGUGAAAGGCGUUGGCUCAACCCCCGGACUGCCCUGGAAACUGUACGGCUGGAGUGCAGGAGAGGUAAGUGGAAUUCGUAGUGUAGCGGUGAAAUGCGUAGAUAUUAGGAGGAACACCAGUGGCGAAGGCAGCUUACUGGACUGUAACUGACGUUGAGGCUCGAAAGCGUGGGGAGCAAACAGGAUUAGAUACCCUUGUAGUC
rnacentral:rRNA from 1 species